UAGAAUUCAGAUUCUGCUGUCCCUGCUCUCCCGCCUGCCUGCAAUUGCCCUGCAGCCUCCCCUCUAACCAGCUUAAGCUGAGGACUGACCUUAGACAUUGGAAGAAUGGCCGAACUAAAUGGUUUCAGCUAUGGGAGAAGAUCCAACUGGCUUUGUGAAUUAUCAUCUGAUAAAGUAUUCCACCUGGGACGGAUUUUCCUGCCAAUCACCUGAUGUCUCUCAUGUUCAGCUCUGGGUGACUGCCUUAAGUUACAUCGUGAGAAACUGAAUGUCGUAUGCCGUAACAACCUCCUUCUGCUGCCUGCUUUAUUUUUCGGUUUGAAAUCAUCUAGUAUAAAACCUGCUGCCAGGCUAAUUACUUAAGUAAAAGACAGGUUCCUGCUUUUCUCCCAAGGAGACCUCAACCUCCUACCUUAGCUCUUCUCCAUUAAAGUCUGGUCCUUCCUAAAAGCCCCUUGUUGU